CGCGCGCCCUGUGCUGGAGCGAGGAGGCGGGCGUGGGCGGGCGUCGGGGCAGCCGCGACCCAGCGCGCGGAGAGGGGAGGGGGCUUCCCCCGGAGGAUGCCCCGCGGCGGCGGCUUCGUCGCUCUUAGGCGCUAGCUGAGCUGGACCGGGAGCGAGCGGCGCGUCGCCAUGCCGGCGUGACGGGCGCCCGCGGCUGCCCGCGCCGGGCCCCCGCGCUGCCCCACGCCGCGCCGCGCCGGCGCCGGGCGGCAGGAUGGGCUGUAUCCAAAGCAUCACCUGCAAGGCGCGGAUCCGGCGCGAGAACAUCGUGGUGUACGAUGUGUGCGCCACCAUCGACCAGUGCCCCACGCGCAUCGAGGAGACCUCGCCCAUCGUCCUGCGCUACAAGACCCCUUACUUCAAAGCCUCGGCCCGGGUGGUCAUGCCCCCCAUCCCCCGCCACGAGACCUGGGUGGUGGGCUGGAUCCAGGCGUGCAACCAGAUGGAGUUCUUCAACACCUACAGCGACCUGGGCAUGUCAAGCUGGGAACUGCCUGACUUGAGGGAAGGGAGAGUAAAAGCCAUCAGUGACUCAGAUGGGGUGAGCUACCCAUGGUAUGGGAACACGACAGAAACUGUGACCCUGGUUGGUCCUACCAACAAGAUCUCCAGGUUCUCCGUCAGCAUGAAUGAUAACUUCUACCCCAGUGUGACAUGGGCGGUGCCAGUGAGUGACAGCAAUGUGCCACUGCUCACAAGAAUCAAGAGGGACCAAAGUUUUACCACCUGGCUGGUAGCCAUGAACACCACCACCAAGGAGAAGAUCAUUCUGCAGACCAUCAAGUGGAGGAUGAGAGUGGACAUUGAAGUGGACCCUCUUCAGCUGCUGGGGCAGCGGGCCCGGCUAGUGGGCAGGACUCAGCAGGAGCAGCCCCGGAUCCUGAGCCGGAUGGAGCCCAUCCCCCCGAACGCACUAGUGAAGCCCAAUGCCAACGAUGCCCAGGUCCUCAUGUGGAGGCCCAAGCGGGGGCCACCUCUGGUUGUGAUUCCUCCUAAGUAAAAGCAGACUGCCCUACUGUGUGUGGAACACAUGCCACUGAGACCCACACUGGGGUGACCAGGGGUGGCAGGAGCCAAACUGAGUUUCUGAGCCAAAGCAGACCUCUUGGUGUGCCAGCCUUUGCAGCUACUUGUGAUGAGUAUAGCUGCUCCUUGGGCGGUAGAACCAUAAACCCUUAGGAAAAGCCCCUUCCUCUUAGGAGUAAACAAACCACUGAUUUGAUAGACUUGCUCUGAUUACCGUGCAAGUAGCCAUAUUUUGGAGCUGACCAGGACAAUUAUUUUAUUUGAACUAUUGACCAUUUCUUACCUGUGAGAUGCAGGGGAUGGAAAUGAAACUAAACAGUGCCUGUGGCAGAUGCUGCUUCCCAACCAAUUAGAAGCGAAAGUGAAAACAUCCACACCAGGUGUUCGUAAGACAGUCUCCUUGUGUGAACUGGAGGGUGCUGGGGAAUUGGGUGAAAGAUCCCGGGUUCUGGGGAGAGAGGAGAAGAAGGUGUUACUACAGGUUAAUAUCAAGUAUUAGCCGAUGGUCAGAUUGUCAACACACCCCCUGGAAUGAGAGGGACACUUAGAAAACUAGAAAAACAGUUGUGUGUGCCCUUUGUUUUGAGUGAGGGGUGGUUUUGGAACUGUCCAAGGUGCUGGCAUCCGCAGCCCCAGUGGAGACUGGCCGCUGGAAUCCACUUACCUCUUUCCAAAGAGAUUGCUCAUUCUAAGUGUUGUUGGGUUACCGUAUUGGAUAUACAGUUCCUGCUUUCUGUAGUGAUUAUGGCAUUGGGUCCCUCUUGAGUUUUUAGUCACUCAAUCUGUGACUUUGUUUACAGCCGCUGAUUCCUAUCACCAGCUCUCAAUUUACAAAGAUGUAUAAGCCUUGUGUUCACGGAGGGUUUCGGGAACAUCUCAACAAAUGAGAACAACAUUUUCAAUAUUUAGUUUCUGAAUUGGUCGGGCACGGGAAGGGCACACCUCUGUGCACACGCACGGGUGCUCACACACCAGUAUUUAGGAAGAAUAACAGCCAGUCUUGCCGAUAGUGCCUGAAUAUUCAUUCUUGGCCUUUCAACACGAAUAGUACAUACAGUGUAUGCCCACAUAGGUUCACAUCAGCUAUACUUACAACAAUUCAACUUCAACUGCUUGUCCAGCUGUAAGUGAGAAAUGUCCGGACUUCUUUAGUGAAAGUCUGAGCCUUAAGCAACCUUGUGUUGCUGAGAUUCGGCCAAUGAAGAUGAGACACGAUGUCAUCCUUUCCUUUAGUCCAGCAGUGUAAAACUUUUUGAAGAGUUUCCAGUGGUAAGAUUUCCAACCCUUUCCACCUAAGUCACCAUGCGCCCCCACCCCAGAAGAGCUUCCCCUCUUCUCAGUGGUGUAGACUGUGAGGCCGAUCCUUCCUUGUUCAGAGACUCCGUGUGUAAACUGACUGCAGUGUUCUCACAAUGUUGUAUACUGAGUCUCCUAAUAAGACGAAGCAAGCCCACCCAGCAAGCAGAACCACAUGGCAAGACACGGAGGAGGAGGAUACGAGCAAUGGCUGGUGGCUCCAGAAGCUGACGCCCUGGACAGCUGACUUCCUAUUUAACAAGAAUGCCAUCUUGCCAGUCUCUUCACCACACUCCUAUCCUGUGACCAGUACCUCCUAACCCCAGCACAUGUGUCCAACCAGGCCAGCUGGUUGGCUCACGGCGGAGCUUUGUUGAAGUGGAAGUUGUGCCUGCUGCACCUUUUGUGUGUGGAAAGAUUGAGUUCACCUAGACCUCCUGCUCAUCCCCUCCCUCCACAUGAAGCCUCCCAAGGACAAGGCUGGUCAUCCUGGACUGAAGAGACCCCACACACAGCCCAGCCUUGGCUCCCAAGCCUGCCACCCAACCCCACAUUUUUGGGUGUGAGAAUAUAUAUCUCCCCUUCUCCUCUCUCUUCUCUAUGUGGAUAGCCAAUGUCAAUCAUCCCCUGAAAUGUCUCUAAGGUCUUUGGAAGGCAACUAUUUGCCGUACCAUGGACAGGCUUGGUGACUUCAAGAUGACCAAGAGCAAGCAUUUCUAUCACCAGGAUCAGUAAAAUGAGAGCAGAACUUCCCCAACAGGGCAAAAGUGGUGUAUGCUGUUCUACUGAUUGUUUUAUUUAUUGGUAUACUCCCCUAUUUAUUUAUUUAUGGAACCUGUAUUUAUUAUAUAUCAGAAAAUCUCCUUCUAUCUUUCAAACAUCAGCUCCAAAUUUGUCUUGUUGGUCCCCCCACAGAGCACAGUAAAUGAUUCCUCUUUGAAGCGAAAAAAAAAAAAAGAGGGAACUUCUUCUCCCUAGUCCCAAAUACUUCUAGCCUAGCCAGAUUUUCAACCCAAAAUGAGAUCAGAAUCUACCAGCUAGUUGUAAGCUGUAUAGCCACACAGACCAGCACAGGCUCCACUGUCCAGAGGGAAACAGUCUUCCAACCCCUGCUUUUAUGCUCUUUCCUUCCACUCCUUCACAAACACAUGCAAGACUAACCACCUGAUUCCAGCCUGACUGUUAAGGCUAGGUUCCUCAUUCUGCUCUGGCGCAGAAUAUUUGACACCAGAUGCACAUUUAGAAUCUAUGUUGGGCACUUAAAGCCACCUGUUGGGCCUGGUUUCCACCUCAAUGUGCCCAAAGCAGAAUCUCUGAGGGGCUGAGCAGCAGAGGUCUUCUUAGUUGUCCAGAUUAUUCCAAUUUGUAAAUGCAGUUGAUGAAAAAGAAAUUUCUACUGUCUUCUUCAUCCCCAGCCACAUCCAAGAUCACUUUCUCCUUUAGUUCCCAAGCUUCCUCUGGACUCCCCAUUUCUCCAGUCCCUUUUCCUCAUGAAACCUUCCCCUCAUUGGCAUCAACAUGAACAGACCCCCCAAAAGGUGACUGGUCCUGAGAGUCACACCAGAAGCCAGUGCCUGCACUUGCCUCUCUUAGGAGCAAAAGCUUGAUCCCUGCCCAGAUUCACCUUUCAUCUGCACUUUCCCCAUCACACAUGCCUUCCUCCAAAAGGUUAAAGAUUUUAAUAUGGUUAUUCCUGGUCCUGCAUUCCAAUCUUAAGGAAAAGAUCAUUCAAGUCUUUAUAAGACAAGGGUUGGCUGUUUCUGCAGAGCAACAUGAAAUACCUGAGGGUAAUUUCCUUGUAACAGGAAGGGUUAUCUUGUCCCCAAAACAGUCCCUUACCCAAUGACCUGUUAGCAACCCCCUAGCAUACAGAUGAUAGAUGACUGAGACUUCUCACUCUCUCAUGUUGACAAGUUCUCCAACGAUGAAUAUAAGUGAAGGGGUGUGUGUGUGUGUGUGUGUGUGUGUGUGUGUGUGUGUGUGUAUACUGCCUUCAUAUAAACUAGAUGGACCAAUGGAGAUGCUGAACUUCAACUUUACAGUUUUGACAUUUACUUGAGAACAAUCAAGAACUUGUGCUGUCUUUCACUCAGUGGAUCAAUUCACUCCUUUCCUCAAAGACCCAAGUGAAUUCCAUAGUAGUGCUUCAUGUGUAAUGGUGUAAUGUCUGAGAACUGUCGGGUGUGUUAGAGACUGUAUAUGUUGUAUGCACAAGAAAGUGCCCAAGAUAAAGAAAGUUCAUUUUCCUAUUCCACCUCCAACAUCUAAGCAGGUUCCCAGAGCAAGUAGAUUUCUCCUGCAUUCAUAGCACCAUGCCUUCUUGCCCCAUUAAUCAGACUGUCCUGCACCAAGUCCCAUCUCUCAGGGUCCUGCUCUCUGAUAGGCAACAGUUCAGUCAGUGGGUGCUAAAGAGUUGAGUGUUACACUUCUUGGGUGACCUUUACCUUUUAAUUGGGGCUAUAGACAAUGCCUUAAUCUGAAGGAGUAGCUUGAAUGCUGGGAAUUUCAGGUGCAGAAGUGGGCCAGUAAGAGAGAUUAGUUUUUUUUCUUAGGAAGGCAUUUUAGAGCCUUCCUUCCCCUGUACCCAUCUUUAAAGUCAGCUCAUAAGUACAUGAGCACAACCAAGCACACUUACCUACAUCCACAUCCCAUAAUUUUGGAAUACCUCCCUUGCAUUGGCCCAUAAAAAUAAAUUAAAAACGAACCAGCUAAAUUAAUUUAAACCUCAUUGGGAAAUGCAGCCUAGUUUUUCAUCGGCCACCAGCCAUCUGGUCUACCCCACCCUGUUUCAUUUUCUUCCUGCUCCUUCUCUUUUCAGCUACUGGUCUAUCAGUUAAUUUAUGUGUAAAUGUCCUCUGCUCUUCCCUUGCUUCCCCCUAACUGUAUUUCCUCCCUUGGAAUUGUGUUGUUUUUGGUGUUGUGAAGGACAGAAAUGGAGGCUAAGAGCAUGAGCAUGUACGUAUGUCACUGAAGACAGAGAAGCCAGGUAUUCUGCUACAGUUUGAAGAAUAACGCCACAAAGGAAGAGAUGAAAGCUGGCUCUGCAGAGUGCCUUAAAAAUGACUUUAAUUAGGAAAUUCUGAGUCGUCAGUCUUUGGAUGUUACAUAAACUCAAUGGAUGUUGCAUUUCACUUCUCUGGGAUUAAAAAAAAAAAAAGUUAAAUACAGUAUGUAUUCGACAAUGACAA